rnacentral:rRNA from 1 species
UACGAAGGGGGGCUAGCGUUGCUCGGAAUUACUGGGCGUAAAGGGCGCGUAGGCGGAUAGUUUAGUCAGAGGUGAAAGCCCAGGGCUCAACCUUGGAAUUGCCUUUGAUACUGGCUAUCUUGAGUUCGGGAGAGGUGAGUGGAAUGCCGAGUGUAGAGGUGAAAUUCGUAGAUAUUCGGCGGAACACCAGUGGCGAAGGCGACUCACUGGCCCGAUACUGACGCUGAGGCGCGAAAGCGAUGGGGAGCGUA